GCCAAAUGGGGUUUGAGACAAGAGGUGAGGCUGGAUGGAGCUUUGAGGACCUCCGGUUUGGCAGCAACUUACGACUAUCAUGGGUUAAGCCAGUAUAGGACUUUCAGCAGAUUUGUUCGGAGAUUUCCAUCAAGCCAGGCAUCAUGUCCGUGUGGCCACAAGUGAGUUUGCUUUUUUUUAUUGCGCAAAAUAUUUGUUUGUUAGCACUAUCCUGAUCUCCAAAAUAUUGCUACUAUUAGAAGUAAGAUGUUUUCAGAUCCUUGGUUCAAGGCUAUCUAAAUUUUCUACAUGAUUGUUAGAAUUCA